AACCUGGUUGAUCCUGCCAGUAGUCAUAUGCUUGUCUCAGAGAUUAAGCCAUGCAUGUCUAAGUACAGACCUUAAAACGGUGAAACCGCGAAUGGCUCAUUAAAUCAGCUAUUGUUCAUUGGAUCGUACCUGCUACAUGGAUAACUGUAGUAAUUCUAGAGCUAAUACAUGCCAUUAUGCCCUGACCCGUAAGGGGAUGGGUGGUUUUAUUAGAACAGAACCAACCGGUUGCCGCAAGGUGGCCGACGAAUUCUGUGUUGACUCUGGAUAACUUUAAUGAUCGCGACAGCGACGGAUCCUUCAAAUGGCUGCCCUAUCAAUUGUCGAUGGUAGGUGACCUGCCUACCAUGGUAAUAACGGGUAACGGGGAAUCAGGGUUCGAUUCCGGAGAGGGAGCCUGAGAAACGGCUACCACAUCCAAGGAAGGCAGCAGGCGCGCAAAUUACCCAAUCCCGGCACGGGGAGGUAGUGACGAUAAAUACGGAGACGGGACUCGUUUCGGGCCUCCGACAUCCGAAUGAGUACAAUUUAAAUCCUUUAACGAGGAACCACUGGAGGGCAAGUCUGGUGCCAGCAGCCGCGGUAACUCCAGCUCCAGAAGCGUAUAUUAAAGUUGUUGCAGUUAAAAAGCUCGUAGUUGGAUCUGGGUGGCAUGGCCACACGCCGUGUUGAAGUACUUCCUUUAUCCUAUGGAAAAUGGAAAUUUCCCGGUGGCGUGGUUGUGUUACCUUUCUGCCGUGUCUGUGUUCACAGGUGCUGGCCUCGGUCAGCAUGCUUUCGGAUGCCUUUCAUCGGGUGUCCGGAGCGGACGGCACGUUUACUUUGAACAAAUUUGAGUGCUCAAAGCAGGCCGUAGAGCCUGAAAAGUCUUGCAUGGAAUAAUGAAAUAGGACUUCGGUUCUAUUUUGUUGGUUUUCGGAUCCGAAGUAAUGGUUAAGAGGGACAAACGGGGGCAUUUGUAUGGCGGCGUUAGAGGUGAAAUUCUUGGAUCGUCGCCAGACAAACUACAGCGAAAGCAUUUGCCAAGGAUGUUUUCAUUGAUCUGGAGCGAAAGUCAGAGGUUCGAAGACGAUCAGAUACCGUCCUAGUUCUGACCAUAAACGAUGCCAACUGACGAUCCGCGGCGCGCUAUUUUUGGCCCCGCGGGCAGUCCCCGGGAAACCUUUAAGUCUGUGGGCUCCGGGGGAAGUAUGGUUGCAAAGCUGAAACUUAAAGGAAUUGACGGAAGGGCACCACCAGGAGUGGAGCCUGCGGCUUAAUUCGACUCAACACGGGAAAACUCACCCGGCCCGGACACUGUGAGGAUUGACAGAUUGAGAGCUCUUUCUUGAUUCGGUGGUUGGUGGUGCAUGGCCGUUCUUAGUUCGUGGAGCGAUUUGUCUGGUUAAUUCCGAUAACGAACGAGACUUUGACCUGCUAAAUAGUGUGCCCGUCUUCUGUGCUUGUUUGGGAGGCAGAAUGCUACGACCCGUCAAGGUUAAGGCAUCUGAUCUUCUGGCUUGUGCGGCGCGGGUGGUCACUUCUUAGAGGGACAAACGGCGUCCAGCCGUGCGAAAUUGAGCAAUAACAGGUCUGUGAUGCCCUCAGAUGUCCGGGGCCGCACGUGCGCUACAAUGACGGUUUCAGCGAGUAUGGGAACCUGGCCCGAAAGGGUUGGGUAAACUGUGCCAUAACCGUCGUGACUGGGAUCGGGGCUUGUAAUUGUCCCCCGUGAACGAGGAAUUCCUGGUAAGUGCAAGUCAUAAGCUUGCGCUGAUUACGUCCCUGCCCUUUGUACACACCGCCCGUCGCUACUACCGAUUGAAUGGUUUAGCAAGGUCCUCGGAUUGGUGCAACUGGUGGAGUUUCCAUAUGGUUCGUACCGAGAAGACGGCCGAACUUGAUCAUUUAGAGGAAGUAAAAGUCGUAACAAGGUUUCCGUAGGUGAACCUGCAGAAGGAUCA
rnacentral:rRNA from 1 species